AGACCCUGGUGGUAGUUUUAUGACCCUGGUGGUAGUUUUAUGACCCUGGUGGUAGUUUUAUGACCCUGGUGGUAGUUUUAUGACCCUGGAGGUAGUUUUAUGACCCUGGAGGUAGUUUUAUGACCCUGGUGGUAGUUUUAUGACCCUGGAGGUAGUUUUAUGACCCUGGAGGUAGUUUUAUGACCCUGGUGGUAGUUUUAUGACCCUGGUGGUAGUUUUAUGACCCUGGUGGUAGUUUUAUGACCCUGGAGGUAGUUUUAUGACCCUGGUGGUAGUUUUAUGACCCUGGUGGUAGUUUUAUGACCCUGGUGGUAGUUUUAUGACCGUGGUGGUAGUUUUAUAACCCUGGUGGUAGUUUUCUGUACCGUGAACCUAAAAAACACUCAAUAAAACCCGACUGAUCUCCUUUUUUGGCCUUUGGAAACAGAUGAUGUGAGGGGUGGAAGCGUCUAACAAUACCCUCCUUUCAUCCAGCCAAUCACCUCCCUUUGCUGUCGAGGAGUGGGCGGGGCUUCUGUGUCAGCUUAGUGUGUACGGUGACUCUACAUUAGUUUACUGACAUGCAGAUGCGGCCCCCACCAUCCCCACACCCACCACGGUAUCAUGUCCAUUACCGUGAUGGUCUACAACAGCACUUCAUGAUCACGUGACUCGCUGCAUAUUGGAUACAUUCGUUCAAAGGCUUCACACGGGACUAAUUAAAUCUCUGUUGCUCAUGAUUAUGCUGCUGUAUAUAAUUACUUAAUUACACUGUUGAAAUACCGUGUGUAUCAUUUCAAACACACACACACACACACACACACACACACACACACACACACACACACACACACACACACACACACACACACACAAACACACACAUAUAUA